GGACGGAGCCGGCGCUGCGGGCAGUUGGUUGCAAUACCAAGAUGUUGUUGCAGAAGGUGAAGGAAAUGGAAUCUGCUGUGGAAAGGUUGACGGAUGAACAGAAGCAGCUACUGACUGCACUGGCGCUGCUGGAGGAGCAGCUCAGCCAGACAUGGCUGGAGCUGCAGGCUGCACGAGCGGCAAACAAGGACAUGGACUCCAGCAUGCGAGCAAUGGAAAGCAGUGUGAAAAGUAUAAUUGAUGUAAGUUUUCCCAAAUAGUUUGUAUUUAACUGUAAAAGGCCAAAACUUAGCACUUCUCCUGCCUUGGAGAUGAUCAAAGAGAUUGAGGUGAAGUGGAAUGUGUGGAAAGUAC